GACGAACUGUGCGAACGUUGUUCGGAAUCACUGGGCUUAAAGGGUGCGUAGGCGGCACGUUAAGUCGGGGGUGAAAUACUUCGGCUCAACCGGAGAAUUGCCUUCGAUACUGGCGUGCUAGAGGAAGGUAGGGGUCGCGGGAACUGCCAGUGGAGCGGUGAAAUGCGUUGAUAUUGGCAGGAACGCCGGUGGUGAAGACGCGCGGCUGGACCUUUUCUGACGCUGAGGCACGAAAGCCAGGGGAGCAAACGGG
rnacentral:rRNA from 1 species